AGUGAAUGCACUGGUAAUUAUCUAUUAUCAGAAUGAUACAUGCUCAUCUACAAAAUCAUUUCCUAACUUCUUUCUGAACCUCUCACCACUGGGGAAUACUGCUGUUUGGUUUCUUAAAAAAUGGUGAUAACUUCCCUAUUGAUGAUUGAUUCCCUAUUCUUAGCAUACUCUUGCUGUGUUUUGAAUCAAUUCUUUUAUUUAUUAGGUUUUUGGGCAAGGAGACUUAGUACGUUUCAUUCUCAUUACUUUUAAUCAUCUCCGUAUCCUCCCCAAACAAGUGCAAGGUUGGCUGC